AUGAAUUAUCCAGUAAUAUGCCUUUCACAAUGAGAUCUAUCUAUAUAGUAAACGGUAUUUAAUUUUGAAAGUUAGCUGGGUAGCUAACCCUCUUAGUCCAUUCUGGUCAGAGUAGGAGCUUAAUCUUUAUGCCUUUUAAAUAGAUAAAUAGCAAUAAGAUUUCCUCCGCUUAAUGGAUAACCGUUUGCUACCAAUGGAGAAUUGCUUCUCAUCUUAAAUUGAGGUGAUUGGAUUUGCAUCAACGGAAGCCAUAAAAUUUAUACACAAUGUAGGAAUAUGAUAACUUCGUUUAUUUUUAGAUAGUGAAUGGAAUCUCUUCUUACAUUCAAUCCUAUUCACCGGUACUGAUCAUUGAUAUUGGAAAGUUUGUUUUUCUUGCUUUUGUACCAGCUCAUGAUAUGAUCUAAACAAGUUGCACAUACACCCGAGUACAUGUUCCUCGAUGUUGAGGGCAUCCCGAAGAGUGGGGAAUGUCGUGACAUUUCUGAUUGGCUGUCUAUUUCUAAUAAGUUGUUUAAUAGUUGGCAUGCUGAAUUUUAUACAUAAUGGGGUGGUUUAAAUUGAUCCUAACCGGAUAAUUAUGAAUUACUUCCAUUUUUAAUAGAAUAGUAAACUCAUAGAUAAAAUCUCAAAUCACGGAUUUGUGCGAAAUCGGUAAUGAAAAAAACCAAAGAAAAAAAAAUGCAUGUUGGCUCUUUGAAACAGUUCAGAUCAUUUUGAUAAUAAGCAGUUUGAUCUGUUUUACCAAGAAGGUCUACGGACUCGAACCAAAUCCAGAGCUAGCUGGUUCUCCCCAAAAUGCGUUGAGGCACAGCAGUUGACAAGACAUCUAGGGGUAAAAUACUAUUUCGGUGUGGGCCUCGAGAACGGUACCAAAUCGAGGCAAACUCUAAAUACUAGAUAUGACCUCAAAAUAACAGGGGUCAAGGUCGGUCAGUGAGACGAUGGGGGAAUAAGCUUCAUCAUCGAGAGGGAAACAGCCCGAAUCACCAGCUGAGGCCCCUAAAUGACCACUUAGUGAUAAAGGAGGUAGAGGUACAGAGACAACCAGGAGGUUUGCCUAGAAGCAGCCACCAUUGAAAGAGUGCAUAAUAGCUCACUGAUUGAGUGCUCUUGCGAUGAAGAUGACAGGGGCUAAGUGAUCUGCCGAAGCUGUGGGAUGUAAAAAUACAUUGGUAGGGGAGCUUUUCGCCUUAGAGAGAAGCCAUCGCGUGAGCAGUCGUGGACAAAGCGGAAGCGAGAAUGUCGGCUUGAGUAACGCAAACACUGAUGAGAAUCUAAUGCCCCGAAAACCUAAGGGUUCGUCCACAAGGUUCAUCCAUGGAGGGUGAGUCAGGGCCUAAGAUCAGGCCGAAAGGCAUAGUUAAUGGACAACAGGUGAAUAUUCCUGUACUACCGUUUGUUGGUCCCAAGUGACGGAGGAGGCGAAGUUAUCCGAAAGAUGCUUAUCGGUUUAAGAACGUAAAAUGCCCCUACUUUUUUAGGUAAAAAGGGGUAGAGAAAAUGCUUCGAGCCAAUGUUCAAGUACUAGGUGCUACGGCGCUAAAGUAACCCAUGCCAUACUCCCAGGAAAAGCUCAAAAGACUGUGAGCAAAAAGGUGCCUGUACCCAAAACCGACAGACAUGGGUAGGUAGAGAAUACCUAGGGGCACGAGACAACUCUUUCUCUGGAACUCGGCAAAGUAGCCCUGUAACUUCAGAAAAAGGGGUGCCUCCUCACAAAGGGGGUUGCAGUGACCAGGCUUGGGCAACUGUUUACCAAAAACACAGGUCUCCGCAAAGUCGUAAGACCAUGUAUGGGGGCUGAUGCCUGCCCAGUGCCGGAAGGUCAAGGAAGUUGGUGACCUGAUGAUAGGGGAGCCGGCGACCAAAGCCACGGUGAAUGGCAACCAUAACUAUAAUGGUCCCAAGGUAGCGAAAUUCCUUGUCAGGUAAGUUCCGACUCGCACAAAAGGCGUAAGGAUCUGGACACUGUCUCAGAGAGAGACCUGGUGAAAUAGACAAGUCUAUGAAGAUGCGGACCACCUGCACCUAGACAGAAAGACCCUAUGAAGCUUCACUGUUCCUUAGGAUUGGCUUUGGGCCUCUCCUGCGCAGCUUAAGUGGAAGGCAAAGAAGGCCCCCUCCCCGGGGGGCUCGAGCCAUCAGUGAGAUACCACUCUGGAAGAGAUAGAAUUCUAACCUUGUGUCAGGACCUACAGGCUAAGGGACAGUCUCAGGUAGUAGACAGUUUCUAUGGGGCAUAGACCUCCAAAAAGGUAGCAGAGGCAUGCAAAGGUUUCCUCAGGCCGGACGGAGAUUGGUCCUCGAGUGCAAAAGCAGAAGGGAGCUUGACUGCAAGACCHACCCGUCGAGCAGGGACGAAAGUCGGCCUUAGUGAUCUAAUGUUGCUGAGUGGAAGGGCCGUCGCUCAAUGGAUAAAAGUUACUCUAGGGAUAAGAGGCUAACCUUCCCCAAGAGCUCACAUUAACAGGAUGGUUUGGCACCUCGAUGUCGGCUCUUCGCCACUUGGGGCUAUAGUAUGUUCCAAGGGUUGGGUUGUUCGCCUAUUAAAGCGGUACGUGAGCUGGGUUCAAAAAGUCGUGAGACAGUUCGGCCCAUAUGUGGUGUGGGCGUUAGAGCAUUGAGAGGACAUUUUCCUAGUACAAGAGGACCGGGAAGGAUGCACCUUUGGUGUACCAGUUAUCGUGACCAUAGUAAACACUAGGUAGCUAAGUGCAGAGCGGAUAACUGCUGAAAGCAUCUAAGUAGUAAGCCCACCCCAAGAUGAGUGCUCUCCUAUUCCAACUUUACUAGAGCACAGCCGAGAUAGUGAUGGCUUCUCUGCCCCUGUGGGGAUGGAGCGACAGAAGUUUUGAGAAUUCAAGAGAAGGUCACGAGGAGACGAGCUGUUUAUCAUUACGAUAGGUGUCAAGUGGAAGUGCAAUGAUGUAUGCAGCUGAGGCAUCCUAAUAGACCUGGAGACUUAAUC
rnacentral:rRNA from 1 species